GAUGAACGCUGGCGGCGUGCCUAAUACAUGCAAGUCGAGCGAACAGACGAGGAGCUUGCUCCUCUGACGUUAGCGGCGGACGGGUGAGUAACACGUGGAUAACCUACCUAUAAGACUGGGAUAACUUCGGGAAACCGGAGCUAAUACCGGAUAAUAUAUUGAACCGCAUGGUUCAAUAGUGAAAGACGGUUUUGCUGUCACUUAUAGAUGGAUCCGCGCCGCAUUAGCUAGUUGGUAAGGUAACGGCUUACCAAGGCGACGAUGCGUAGCCGACCUGAGAGGGUGAUCCGCCACACUGGAACUGAGACACGGUCCAGACUCCUGCGGGAGGCAGCAGUAGGGAAUCUUCCGCAAUGGGCGAAAGCCUGACGGAGCACCGCCGCGUGAGUGAUGAAGGUCUUCGGAUCGUAAAACUCUGUUAUUAGGGAAGAACAAAUGUGUAAGUAACUAUGCACGUCUUGACGGUACCUAGUCAGAAAGCCACGGCUAACUACGUG
rnacentral:rRNA from 1 species